UUGGUAGUAAAAUGUCAGAAUACUGAAUGUUGAAGGUCAAAUCACAACUUUUUCACGUCUAAUUGUUUGGACUAAAUUUAAAGAUUUUUUUAACUUUUUUGUACUUUCGUAAGCGGGCAAAGUUUAGAACGAAGUCGUCAACGCCAAGCGUAUGGCGUCGAGAGUGGGUUACCGGUAGUUAUUUAUAGAGGAAUGGAUUUAAAAAAAUGUUCUGAGUCAUGAGGGCUGUCUUGGCCAGCUACGUCUCUGACUUAUGACUCGAAACAAUGCAGAUCAUCGGAUUUACUGCAGUCUUCAGUUCAAGGUGUGCUGGUGAAUCGAAGUAUGAUUUUUCAAAAGGAGCCACUGGCAGGGAUGUGUCAAAGAAAGGAAGACCUGAAUGCAUUACUGGUGUUUUAAGAGCUUCAUCAGAAACCUCCACCACAAGAGGAAUUGCUGCAACUGUAGAUAUAGUAUAUUCACAUGUCUCCAUACAGACUUGACCGGUUAUGAUUCCAUGAAGAUUUUAUGACAAGACUGUAGGAAACCUGUUUACUGACAGUGCCAGAGUGGUUAUUGUUGAAGAAUAGUAAAGUACAGUUGACAUAAGACACUGUGACAUACUAUACAGAAAGUGGUACUGGUGGCUAGAAUUUUGGAUGGGAGUGAAAACAACACAUUUGUUACUUUGGCUUCACAGUUUUUAUUUGUUUCAAGAAGAGCAAUGUCAUUUACAGGUGAAUUCCAUUGGGUUUACACAUGUUCAUGUGAUGUAGCUGGAACUGAAUUGAGUGCCGUGGAGAGCAAAUGUAGGUUACCUUUGCAGGUUACAUUGGUAGAAUUACUAAGCCUUUUAUUUUAUUAUAUUUUAAGUAAUCAUUGGAAAAAUAUAAAGCGGUUAUCUUCAUAGUUAUACAUUUUUCAAUCAAACUGUGAUUAUUAAAUUCAAAACUUAAACUUUCAAGAGGGCAGAAACCCACUAUGAAGAUAGUUUCAUGCCACCUAAAAAUAAGUAAAAUAAUUCAUCUUAACAGCACAGUGCCAAACCAGGAAUAAGAACUAAAGAGUAUAAUGAGACAAGACACAUUCUUGAUACAUAAAUUCCCUUAAUUUGAGUAGAAGUAUUAUAUAAUUCCUGCUUUGUUUUAGCUCGACUGUAUGAAGUAUAUGGAGAGCUAUCCUUCUCGACCUGGUAUUGGCAACA
rnacentral:lncRNA from 1 species